rnacentral:rRNA from 1 species
CAGCAGCCGCGGUAAAACGUAGGGUGCAAGCGUUAAUCGGAAUUACUGUGCGUAAAGCGUGCGCAGGCGGUUUGUUAAGACAGAUGUGAAAUCCCCGGGCUCAACCUGGGAACUGCAUUUGUGACUGGCAAGCUAGAGUGUGGCAGAGGGGGGUGGAAUUCCGCGUGUAGCAGUGAAAUGCGUAGAUAUGCGGAGGAACACCGAUGGCGAAGGCAGCCCCCUGGGCCAACACUGACGCUCAUGCACGAAAGCGUGGGGAGCAAACAGGAUUAGAUACCCCUGUAGUCCCUGUCUCUUAUAC